GUAAGCAGGGAAUGAGUGUUUUGGUUUUAACCCAUAUAUGCUGGGUUUAAUGUGGGGAAACUGAUAUCAGGGUUGGUAUCAUUCCCUUUUGCCCAGCUUAGAAUCUAUGACUCAAAAUUAUAUUUACCCAACUGUAAAUAGUUUCAUUUACCUUGUCACUCUUUUAUUUCUUUGUUUUUCAGAACCUUACUUGCAAAUAAAACCUAGUCAUUAACUUUCUCACCUGUGUCUAUCAACCUAGGCAAGGCCAUAAAAAAUUACAAAAACAGAUUGGUGUCAUUAGUAAGUUAAGAUUUUCUGCCUCAGACUCUAAAAAUCACCUGAAACUGUUUCAAAAAACUAUGAUGAAUUCAUGUUUCUACAUUCCACAGUGAUUUUCUUCCAAUUUCGUUUUGACGAACUGGGAACCCCUCAUCUUCCCAGAUCUACAAACCUAUCUUCUUUAGAAGCCUGAACCUCUUUUUCUCCUGUUUCUCUGGGAGUAGUUUCCCUCCACCUGUGAGACUACAAGUCUCUAUACCCCAUUAAGGGAAGGAAAGUAGGCUGAUCCCGUUGGCAGGCCGAGGGAAGGAAACGGAUCUAGCCUAGAUUCUGAGACUUCAAUGUAUAGAUAACAAUUGAAAACCGUGGCUUGUUUGUGAAGUAGAAAAUGAAGCAAUGACAUUAGAUGAUUCCAAAAAGAAGAUUAAUCAAAGUGGAGAAAAGGACAAGGGAAAAAUGAGAAAAAGCCACAUUUUAAAAGGUUUUUGAGAAGGAAGUUGUUAAGUCACAAAUACUCUGGUGACUCUGAGAACUGAAAAGUGUCCAUUGGAUUUUCCAGAAAAUUAGCCCUGAGCUAACAUCCGCUGCCAAUCCUCCUCUUUUUGCUGAGGAAGACUGGCCCUGAGCUAGCAUCUGUGCCCAUCUUCCUCUAUGUUAUAUGUGGGAUGCCUGCCACAGCAUGGCUUGCCAAGCAGUGCAUAUGUCUGGACCCGGGAUUUGAACCGAUGAACCCCAGGCCUCCGAAGCAUAACCUGUGAAUUUAACUGCUGUGCCACCAGGAGGGGAUUGUCCAGGUGCUUGUCCUUGACGGUGUCUGUCUCCAUGGAGGAUAGUGGAUUCUGGAGCCAGGAAGCCAGAGAUCUUGCUGCCAACUGAACUGAGGAGAAGAGAAUUGGAGGAGGAAGACAGAUGGCUCACAGAAUUCCAAUAUUAUCCUAAACAAAUCCAUAAUCAUGCCUCUGAAUUAGGAGAACGGAGAUUCCAUGGGGAAUAUCCUGGGCCUGAAAAAUGGUUCAUAUUUCAGACCAUAUCUAGGGGGUGGAGUAGAGUAUGUGUAGAAGAGAGAAAAAGAGUGAAACAAAAAUAGAAACCCGUGGGGGGUGGGGAGUG
rnacentral:lncRNA from 1 species